UGGUGAAAAUAAAAGGCAAGACUGAGCUAGCCCACUGGAAGCCUUGCUACAAAGUGCUCUCUCUGGUUGGAAGCAGGCCAGCUAUGUGAUGAUCAGAGUGCCGGCUCCAUUCUGGCUCUUCCCAGAAUUUCCAGACAUAUGCCUCUAAAAGGGAAAUACAUGAACCUGGGAGUUCCCUGCUGGGGGACAAACAUGAGAUAUUACAAAGGUAUGACAGUUCAUCACCUAGAGAGUGGGUACUCUACUUAUAUCUACAAUCCUGCCUUCCAAAUGAGAUACAAAGGAGAGAGAUCAUAGUUUCAUGAAGAUAAGUAUUAGACUUGUAACCAGGACACCCUGUUUCGUACCAUCUCUUUAUGUAAUCUUGGACAUAUUUAUUUUCUUCACUGUGCCUCAAGUAUCUCAUCUGUCAAAUGGUGAAGCUAGAACUUUCUGCCUAACUCAAGGCUUCCUUGAAGAUAAAAUGUACUGAAGAAAAAAAAAAGGAAUUGACUUUGGAACUUGCCAAGUGAAAGGAAAUAUCUAAAGAGGUUAAUUAAGUCUCUUGGGCUCAUUCACUUCAGGAAAGUCAACAUUGACCUAGAGGUGAUCAUGUAGGCAGAUUAAAAAGUAGUGAGAGAGCACAAGUUUGCUGUGUCAAAACCAGGAGCAAAUGAAGCUAAAAUAAGCAAACUCUAAACUGGUGAGAUGGAAUGAAACCUUGAAAGCCAGGUCUGACUGACAGGAAGUAAUCUCUGGGCAGCCACAGGAAAAAAAAACAUUGAGGAAGGAUUCUGCGUUUGCUCCAUAGUCUUUCUCUAGAGAAAUGAAGCCUGGAAGGUUCACUACGAAGGUUCAUCUGCUGGCUGUUUGAGUUCCCUGCACCUGGCGCAGAAUGUUUCUGAAGCAGCUUGCGAGCCAUGGAGUAGCUGGAGAACAGGGGUAGGCUGUAUCUCUCUCAGAGAUUCUGCUUCAUUUGGAGCAGAGGUUCAUUUGAGGGCCAAGAACCCAGUGUAAGAACCAAUGAUCUGGCAGAACCUCCAGACCUUUCUGCAAUCCUCUCCUCAAGCAGAUGUUAGUGGAUCCCUGAAGCAGGGUCCUAAGGAGGUUGCCUAAACAAAGAAUGGUUAUGCUAAGAUAUGGAUUAGGUGGCUAGAACAAUCUUCUCAAAUACAGUAGCUUAAACGAGAGAGAAGUUUCUUUCUGCUUUAGAAGUCUCUGUAGGCAUUCCAGGGCUGUGAGAGACAAUCCAAUUUCCUCUUAUAUCAAUGCUCCAUCCUUGUCAUAGGCACAUGCUUGAGGUUGGUUCAAUAUCCUUCUGCUGGAAGUAUAUCUUUCACAGCAGAAAAGUGUGAAGGGAAGGAGAAAGUACACUUUCUCCCUUUUAAGGUCAUAAUGUAGAAGUUACACACAUUAUGUUCAAUUAGGCAGAUCCUAAGAGCCCAUGUCCACACCUAUCUUCUGGAAAGGCUGAGGAGUGUGGUCUUUAGCUGGUGAUCCAUGUGUCUACCUAAACUUGGGAAUUACACAAGCAGAAGGGGUGACUGGAUAAUGGAGGGGGGUAAUUACCAAUCUCUGCCAUAGCGGUAAAAGCACUUAGGCUUGGAACUUAAUAAAAAUCAUCUCAGUGUUUCUCCUUAUGGAUAUCCUUUAAAAACAAUCUUCAAUCUGAAGAGAUGAAGUAAAAUACUAGAAUCUAAUUCUGGCAUCUGCUGUGUUUUCUUUUUAGUACAGCAUAUAAUUUAUAUACUGUCCAAGGUACAGAUCUUAACUGUUGCAGUUCAAUGAGGUUUAAGUUUCUACACUGACCUAACCCACACUCUACUAAGAGAGUGAGCCCUUCCGUCAUCUAAGAACACUUCUUUAUGCCCCUUCUAAGUCAAUCCCCCACACGCUGCAGCCACUGUUCUGAAUACCAUCAUUAUAGAAAUGAUUCACUGGAAAAAAUGAGUUUUAAGAGUC